CAAAGCGACAAACAUAUUUUCUAGGAGCAUAACAUUAUUACUUCCAGUUUUGCUAAAGUGAAGUUUGUCUUUCCUCUACAGCUUCCACUUCUGCUACCGUUGCUGUUGCCUUAAGGAUAAUAUGAAAGUAUAUGUUCAAUGGAUGUCACCACCUGGAUCAACACCUCGGACUUCCCUGCCUUUCCCAGUCAUCUGGUCACCACACCAACCUGCACCUGCCUGUACUUCCACAUCAGGCCACACCUGCCCCUCGUCAACCCCAGAGUGUGUCUAUAUACAGGCCUCUCACCUGUUGCCAUUUGCCAGAUUGUCUAUUAUGCCUUAUAUAACCUUCCUACCCUUGUUCUGUUCUGUCUACAUGCCAUGGUUUCUGUAUGUUCUUGGAUUUGUCUGUUGCCCGCGCCACCUUCAGACUCAGUGGCUGAAUUACAUGAUCUGAUAUGAAUGUAGAAGAAUUUCAAAUAAAAGCUGACUCAGGG